rnacentral:rRNA from 1 species
UACGUAGGGGGCAAGCGUUAUCCGGAUUUACUGGGUGUAAAGGGAGCGUAGACGGAAUUGCAAGUCUGAUGUGAAAAUCCGGGGCCCAACCCCGGAACUGCAUUGGAAACUGUAUUUCUAGAGUGCCGGAGAGGUAAGCGGAAUUCCUAGUGUAGCGGUGAAAUGCGUAGAUAUUAGGAGGAACACCAGUGGCGGAGGCGGCUUACUGGACGGUAACUGACGCUGAGGCUCGAAAGCGUGGGGAGCAAACAGG